UCAGGGUCGGAAUCGAACGCACGACCUCCUGUAUGCCAGGCGAAGUGGUUAACAUCUCGCCACCGUGGCGCCCCACACUGAGAUAUUCGCGACCGUGCUGCGUAGCUCGCGCUUCCGGGAUGCGCCGCGUCUCGCUCGGUACGUUUCACUCUGGUGUGCGGAGUGAAACGUCUGACAUCGCAUGUAAAUAUUUAGACAAAGAUCCCCGGCGUAGCCUCUGACAGAUGCUUGCGGCAAGUGCUGUCAGCGAGCACCGACGUAAACCCGGCAGACGAGGAGGCUGGAUGGCCAGCGCCACGCCCCGGCCUCCUGUCUCCCCAGUGCUGAUGUUUACACACCGCACCGGGCACUCAUUGAAGGCCCAGUCGACCUAGGGGAGGCGCCAGGAUCUGUUCAGGUAUUCGCCAGUGUUUUUGAUCACGAGCGGGCCAUGCAUACUUCACCACGCUGGUCAGUGCGGAUUGGGGAAUGCAGCGAGUCCAGAGGACCGGCUCGAAGUUGACACUCGCCACCGUCGUUAGCCAUGGCCCGGGAAUCAACACCCGGGGUCACUAACCUGACGGUGCGGUAAUGGCUACCUACUACAUACAUUGCACACGCAAGUAUAAAUGCCACAUUUCCACAUGACACACACGUAUAUAUACGCACCGCGUGUAUAAAAACUGCAAAGCGAUCUACAGUAUUCAUAACACGUUACAGACCAAGAACGCGUACGGGAUUCCUCCGUGCACUCGCUGGAAUGCGGAGGAGCCUUCACCGAGGGAUAAAGCGAUGGAUAUUUACAUAUUUAUUUGGGAGACUCUGCAUUAUUCAUUUCAAUACGAAGCAUGUAAUCGUGCCAUGCCCGAGUGAAGCCUUAUUCAAAAUCGUAUGCAUAAUCAUUUCGUGAAGGUAGGCCCCCCCCCUCGGAAAAAAUAUGAAUACGCGUCCAGAGCGAAUUCCUUUCAUAAUUUCAUUUAUUAACACGUCAAUCUCUCCCCACCCCCCGCGUCCGGCCAGAGGGCCCGGGCCCCCCCACCCCCAUCUCACUUCCGCAGAGGGUCCCGGCGCCGCAUGGCGGCCGAAGGGACGCUCACCCGAAAGCCGCCGUUCCACAAUGGCCGCGGGACGAAUGUUUAACGGCACGGAGGAUUUUUACAUUUACGUACGCACAACGCGGCGGUCGCAAUUAGCCGGGGCUGCGCCGCGUCCACGCGGCGGCGGCGGCGAGCGCCCGUGCACCGAACGACGCCGGCAACGUCGACGAUAAGGGGGGGGGGGGGUGUCCCCCUCCACCCCCUACAAUGGGAAUUUAACCCACGCCGCUCGGAUUUCAGGGAACCGUGCUGACCGCUACGCCAUCGUUGGGCCCUCUUGAGAUUUCACAACCAGAGAAUUGAUUCACGUACGAUCAAUACAUACGUAAAAGGACAUCAUGCACAAAGAUUCCCCAUACAGCCUCUCCAGCCUAUUUGGGCAGGUGCUGUUAGCGAGCACCUAUAAAGACCGACAAACAUACCAGCAACGCGCCCGGCUGCCUUUGUCUCCCCGCAAUUCGGAUGUUUGCACAACCGCACCAGGGAUCCAGUGGAGACCCAGGACUGGCUCAGUAAUAUGCCACCGAUAUUGGCCACGAGCAGGAACUGAACCGGGCUCGCUGGGUAUGUGGUGUAGCACCGUCAACCGCCACGCUACCGCCCACCGCGUAAGCAGGACACGCGAGGGUACGCGUAACGCACACGCGGCACGUAAAAAAACAUACGAGCAAGAUGUACGCGCAUACAGACACACACGCGCGCACGCACGCACUCGACUGGAGGUGAUGAAAGACCCCUUUUGGAGGAGGAAAGAACCGAAGAUGAGAGCCCGGCGCUGGUGUCAAAUGCCAGGCCAGGCAUCGGAGGCAUCCAUACCAACAAAGGGAACGUCAAUUUGACAACGAUCGGCACAAGCAACAUCGGAUGAUCAAAGCCGCCGCGCGAAGAGAAAAACGUACGGAGCGUGGCACCAAUUAAACGCAAGGGCAAUGUAUUAAAUUACGAAAAGGCAGCUUGUGCUGCUUGCAUGAAUGAAUUUGUGGCGGGUAAACUUAGAAGAAGAAGAAUAAAAAAGAGAAGAGCUGUGAAUUAAAUGUAUUUACUCACA